GUCAGCUGGGCUGCUGGCUGCCAGUCCGCCUGCGUUAUCAAAGGCUGCAGACACUGCCCUGCCUGGUGGGAGGCAGGGAAGCUAGCCCUACCUAUCUGAGGCUCUGUGCUGCCUUCAGCCCUCCCACUCAGCCUCCUCCUAGCAGGUGGAGUGCUCCCUGGCCUGCCUGGAGCAGGAGAGGCACCAGAUGCAGGGAUCCCAGGGACAGGCUGAGUGGAGGAGGCCAGACCAGAACAUAGAAGACAAGAGAUGCUGGUGCCAGGCCUGCAGAUCCAAGAGCAGAGCUGGGAUGGAGGCAGGGCCCAGGAGCUUCGGGACCCAGAGUCUCCAUGCCAGCAGCUGAGACCCCUGCCCAGGCUCAGGACACAGUCCGUCUGCAGGAGCAGUUGCUGAUACUCACUGAGGUGAACAAGAGACUCAGAAGAGCUGGGCCAGAGCCACCAGCAACUAGGGGCCUGCUUGGAGCAGCUGCAGCAUCUGCAGGGAGAGCAGAUGGUGUUGGGGGGCCAUUGCAGGCCCUGGAGGCAGAGCACACCUGGCUACUUCAGGAGAAGGUGGGGCUGCUAGCAGCACUGGGUGUGGCCCCGGGCCAAGAGUCCUGUACACUCCAGGUCCUGGAGGUACCAGUGCCCCUCAGGAAAGAGCUAGAGGCACAAGAAUCACAUCCCAGGCUUCAUGAGGAGAUGGCUGAAUAUUGGAAGGCACGCUGGCACCGGCUGGCAGUUGCCCUGAAAUUUAAAGAGGAGGAACUGCAGAGACUCCAGAGGCAGAGUGGGACCUGGCCUCCCCAGGGCAGACCGCAGCAGAGACCCCAGGCCAGCCCCCGGAGUCUGCAAAUGAAAGGAGCUGUGGGAGCCCAGGUCUGCCAAGGAGCUGGAGUCUGCAGUGUGGACUCCACCAGAGGCCAAUGGGAGGUGGGUUCAGAGCUGGCUGAGAUGCAGACUGAGCUCGAGAAGGUCUGCAAUGUGCUGGAAGCUUGAGACUCAGAGCUGAGAGCUGAGCAGUGGGCCCUGGAGGCUGCCCAGGACCAGGUGCUCAGCAGCUGCCCCCCUGCACUGUGCUUCCGACUGGCCUGC
rnacentral:lncRNA from 1 species